rnacentral:rRNA from 1 species
GACGAACGCUGGCGGCGUGCUUAACACAUGCAAGUCGAACGGUAAGGCCCUUCGGGGUACACGAGUGGCGAACGGGUGAGUAACACGUGGGUGAUCUGCCCUGCACUUCGGGAUAAGCCUGGGAAACUGGGUCUAAUACCGGAUAGGACCACUGCCUGCAUGGGUGGUGGUGGAAAGCUUUUGCGGUGUGGGAUGGGCCCGCGGCCUAUCAGCUUGUUGGUGGGGUGAUGGCCUACCAAGGCGACGACGGGUAGCCGGCCUGAGAGGGUGACCUGCCACACUGGGACUGGGAUACGGACCAGACUCCUACGGGAGGCAGCAGUGGGGAAUAUUGCACAAUGGGCGCAAGCCUGAUGCAGCGACGCCGCGUGAGGGAUGACGGCCUUCGGGUUGUAAACCUCUUUCAGCACCGACGAAGCGCAAGUGACGGUAGGUGCAGAAGAAGGACCGGCCAACUACGUGCCAGCCGCCGCCGUAA